rnacentral:miRNA from 1 species
UUAAAAAAUAAUAAUAAUGCAGGUUUCUAGGCUUUCCUCCCAGAGCUUCCGAUUCUGCAAAUGUGAGAUGGAGCCCAGGAAUCUGAAUUUUAAAAAUACGAGCAGUGAUUCUGAUGCA